ensembl:snRNA U6 U6 spliceosomal RNA
GUGCUCUCCUCAGCAGCACAUAUGCUAAAAUUGGAUCAUGCAAAGAAGAUGCGCAUGGUCCCUAUGGAAAGAUGACAGGAAAUUCAUGAGACAUUCCACAUUUGG